rnacentral:rRNA from 1 species
UACGGAGGGUGCAAGCGUUAUCCGGAUUCACUGGGUUUAAAGGGUGCGUAGGCGGACAGGUAAGUCAGCGGUGAAAUCUCCGAGCUUAACUCGGAAACUGCCGUUGAUACUAUUUGUCUUGAAUAUUGUGGAGGUAAGCGGAAUAUGUCAUGUAGCGGUGAAAUGCUUAGAUAUGACAUAGAACACCAAUUGCGAAGGCAGCUUACUACACAACAAUUGACGCUGAGGCACGAAAGCGUGGGGAUCAAACAGG